rnacentral:rRNA from 1 species
GACGAACGCUGGCGGCGUGCCUAAUACAUGCAAGUAGAACGCUGAAGAGAGGAGCUUGCUCUUCUUGGAUGAGUUGCGAACGGGUGAGUAACGCGUAGGUAACCUGCCUUGUAGCGGGGGAUAACUAUUGGAAACGAUAGCUAAUACCGUAUAACAAUGGAUGACACAUGUCAUUUAUUUGAAAGGGGCAAUUGCUCCACUACAAGAUGGACCUGCGUUGUAUUAGCUAGUAGGUGAGGUAAUGGCUCACCUAGGCGACGAUACAUAGCCGACCUGAGAGGGUGAUCGGCCACACUGGGACUGAGACACGGCCCAGACUCCUACGGGAGGCAGCAGUAGGGAAUCUUCGGCAAUGGGGGCAACCCUGACCGAGCAACGCCGCGUGAGUGAAGAAGGUUUUCGGAUCGUAAAGCUCUGUUGUAAGUCAAGAACGGGUGUGAGAGUGGAAAGUUCACACUGUGACGGUAGCUUACCAGAAAGGGACGGCUAACUACGUG